CGCGGGAUUGAGCAGUCUGGUAGCUCGUCGGGCUCAUAACCCGAAGGUCGUAGGUUCAAAUCCUGCUCCCGCAA
rnacentral:tRNA from 1 species